AGGUGACCUGCGGUAGGAUCAUUG
rnacentral:rRNA from 1 species